CCUGUAAGAUUGGGAGUAACUACGCGGAAACGUGAGCUAAUACCGAAUGAAGUCUUUCACCGCCUGGUGAAAGGAUGAAAGAUGGCUCUUGAGCUGUCACUUACAGGAUGGGCCCGCGGCGCAUUAGCUAGUUGGUGGGGUAAAGGCCUACCAAGGCGACGAUGCGUAGCCGACCUGAGAGGGUGAUCGGCCACACUGGGACUGAGACACGGCCCAGACUCCUACGGGAGGCAGCAGUAGGGAAUCUUCCGCAAUGGACGAAAGUCUGACGGAGCAACGCCGCGUGAGUGAUGAAGGUCUUCGGAUCGUAAAACUCUGUUGUCAGGGAAGAACAAGUUGUGUUCUAACAGGACAUGACCUUGACGGUACCUGACCAGAAAGCCCCGGCUAACUACGUGCCAGCCGCUGC
rnacentral:rRNA from 1 species